rnacentral:rRNA from 1 species
UACAGAGGUCUCAAGCGUUGUUCGGAUUCAUUGGGCGUAAAGGGUGCGUAGGUGGCGCUGUAAGUCGGGUGUGAAAUUUCGGAGCUUAACUCCGAAACUGCAUUCGAUACUGCGAUGCUUGAGGACUGGAGAGGAGACUGGAAUUCAUGGUGUAGCAGUGAAAUGCGUAGAGAUCAUGAGGAAGACCAGUGGCGAAGGCGGGUCUCUGGACAGUUCCUGACGCUGAGGCACGAAAGCCAGGGGAGCAAACAGG